AAGCCAGACUUCAUGCGCACAGAGGAAGGAAGGAAUGACACCUAAGAGACUGAACGACAGUCCCACUUGUGGAGAGCUGGAAGCCUGUGGCACAAACGGCAAUGAGGCGACACUGAAAGUUCUGCUUACAAGUCUGAGGGGCCUGGGAUGCACCCAGGAGGAGCCACCAAGGGCAACAAGGCAUGCAAGACUGGAGCCUCAGCCUGACUUGCAGUGGAGCCUGCAAGUCAUGGCACACGCAAGACCAGUCAAAGCUUAAGGGUACGGCUCAGGAUGAGAUCCCUUAGCGAGAGAGUGGGGGUGAUACUUCUGUAACUGCAGUACGGAGGAAAUUUCCUCUGGAGAUUCCAACUCAGUAAGUUCGGGGUGGAGACUUUCAAUCUGCACUUUUAUUAAACUCUCCAGGUGAGUCUCGCCUCAGUAUCACUGAGCCCAAUACUGCACUGGAGACAGAAAGUGUGUGAGUCCAGGAGUGCGCUGCCAGGCUCAAGCAGUUGGUAGCUGGCCAAAAGAAGAGUCUGAGAAGCUGAAGCCAGAUACCAGCCAGAAAAGAGGGAUCUGUGCAACUGGAACCAGCUGCAAAGGAACCAGCAAAGGUUCCUGACUGUGAGGAACUACUGGUGAGAAUCUGUCUGAGGGCCGUGCAGCCAGUUCCUGCCAAACACCGCCGAGCCCAGGCCCUCCAGAACAGUUCAGGUACGAGGCCUGGAAACUGUUCAAAGAGUCUGUGUUGUCACUAGGAGAAAACACAGCACGGAUAAUAUCCGGGAUAGAGCUGUGUCAGUGCCUUUUCUGCGGGUUGCUUCUCCUACUGAGCCUCACUCUCCAGAGGGCGUCGCUCGCAGGCUGUGCAGGAGCAACGUGGGUCUCCUCACAGCUUUGGGCACUGAGGAAGGGCGGGAGCAGGAGCACCGCCAGGCCCUGGUCCUCACUCACUCCCUAAGCAACAGGCUAAGGAAAGAAAGGUCACACAGAUUAGGAGGCGGGCUCCUUUCCAUCCCUCCUCUCACCUUGUGCCCAGCUGCCCAGCCCCUGCCAGCCCUUGCUGUCUCCACACUGUCCUAGCGGAUCGGAACACUUGCAAUUCAGACGAAUCAAGCUUGCACUUCCCCCGAGCUUGCCACAUUUCCCCUAAACCGGCGCAACCACCAAUGAUCCAUAAAGUUAUUCUCUGAUGGGGAUCUACAUUCCCACGGGAGCUUCUGUGGAGACAGACGUAAGUGUGAAGGAGUUAAACUAACACGGAGCACUCCUGCAGCAUCAGGAGAAGACACAUGGGUGUGGGGACAGUAACGUGAAAAUCCGUUCCAGCGCCCCACACGUGGCUGUAUGCUCCACUCGGGGAGCCCAGCAGACGGCGUGAGGAGUCUGAGUUUGCCAUCUGGGAACAGGCAAACUUUUAAAAAGACUGCCACGAGAUUAUAAACCGCCACAGAAGGCUGAUACCACGCUAUGUGGUAGCAGAGAAAUCUUAAGCAACAAGUACAUCUCAGUGUCCAGCCUGGGGAAGAGUUGCACAGCUCGGAAGACUUUCUUCACCGGGCAGAGCUAGAAGCAGUACUUAACUGAAGAGCUGCGAACUAAAAACAACCAGCUUUGAGCCAUAUACCGGAGUUCCCGCAGAGGAAGCAAAGGCAUCUACUGUUCAGACGUGAAACGCAAGCACGAUGAGCACGUUCUCAGGUGUAAGCAGGAAAGCAGGGGGCACCCAAGGCCCAUCUGGAGUUUCAGCCUCCAGAACAAUAGCACUCUUGACAUUUUUAAAUGGGAAAUACCAUGGAGAAGAGUACUUAGGCCUAUAAUGAAAAAUAUGUAAGCAGAUGUGUAGUGGGGAAAAUAGGCUCUGAAAUGACUGGGCGUGGGUUACAUUUACAGCUCCUUCAAUUAGUAAGCAGGAGACUUCGGGUGAGUUUAGGUGCUGAGCAAAAAGGUAAAGUCCUUGCUUUUCAGCAGAAUAGCCAAUGAUAGGUUUUCUUCCUCUGGUCCAAAGUGAAUGAGAGAUCCAAAUCGAUGCAUUGAAAGCUUUGUGAAAAACGACAUUCAACAAGAAGUCUUUCAACCUAACCAUAUGGAAGGAAAAAUACCAAAUUUGACCUUAAGAUCUAUUAAUCACUUAGAGUUUGAAGGUGAAUACAUUAAGGUAAAAGGUCUUUUCUUUAUAACCAUGAGAGUACCUGAAUUUUCCAUUAUACAUAAAAUUUACAUGUUUCCACU